CACUUGACGGGUUUAUAUACGUCAGGAAGGUGCUGCCACUAACUCCUUUUUAUCUCCUGUUCUUCUGAGGGACAUGGACGCUAGGAGAAGCUCACAGUGUCUUAUCUAGAGAAAGCCGAAGGAGGAAGAGAAGAACCGGAGAGAGCAGUCGUGAUGGGUCAGGUGACAUCGGUCCAGGCGGAGUGACGGGUUCCAAGCCGUGCGCCGGCUCUGGCUUUGAAUUUGAAGCAAUCUAGGCACGUUUGGACGCGAUGAUGAAACUCUUCAAGGACGAGGCAACUGACGGGCUGAGUGAGGUCCUCCACUUCAGCGAAUGAAUGGAGGUGAGGGGCACACCAGGAUCCUGUGAGAUGCCGGUCAUGGGCUCCAGGCCACGUCUUCAGGUGCAGUGGCCGCCCACGGCUCCCCAUUAGACAUGAAGAGACCACCUUCCUUUCCUUUGAUGAUGGGCGGCGUGCGGGAGUCCUGGGAGCCGUGUGUCCUGGGUGUGCACCCUGCCUGUGGAUCCCGCAGGAAGGUGGAGUGGCUGUGCGGGACUCGCCAUCAUCCAUGAAGUGAAGACAUGCUUUCCUUUGAUGAGCCAAGUCGAGUGCAAGUCCUGGAAGCCGAGUGUCCCUCCCUGGGUGUGCACCCUGCCUGUGGAUCCCUCAGGAAGGUGCAGUGGCUGUGCAAGGCUCCCCAUUAGACAUGAAGAGACCACCUUCCUUUCCUUUGAUGAUGGGCGGCGUGCGGGAGUCCUGGGAGCCGUGUGUCCUGGGUGUGCACCCUGCCUGUGGAUCCCGCAGGAAGGUGGAGUGGCCCUUGUAGACUCGCCAUCAGUAAUGAAGACACGACCUUCCUUUCCGUUGUUGAUGGGUGGCUUGCAGGAGUCCUAGAAGCUGAGUAUCCCUAGUUGUGCACGCUGCCUGUGGAUCCCUGAGGAAGGUGUAGUGGCCGUGUAGACUCUGUAUCAGGCAUGAAGAGAAGACCAUGCUUUCCUUUGAUGAUGGGCGGCGUGCGGGAGUCCUGGGAGCCGUGUGUCCUGGGUGUGCACCCUGCCUGUGGAUCCCGCAGGAAGGUGGAGUGGCUGUGCGGGACUCGCCGUCAUCCAUGAAGUGAAGACCAUGCUUUCCUUUGAUGAGCCAAGUCGAGUGCAAGUCCUGGAAGCCGAGUGUCCCUCCCUGGGUGUGCACCCUGCCUGUGGAUCCCUCAGAAAGGUGCAGUGGCCGCCCACGGCUCCCCAUUAGACAUGAAGAGACCACCUUCCUUUCCUUUGAUGAUGGGCGGCGUGCGGGAGUCCUGGGAGCCGUGUGUCCUGGGUGUGCACCCUGCCUGUGGAUCCCGCAGGAAGGUGGAGUGGCCGUGUGCGUCUUGCCAUCAUCCAUGAAGUAAAGACCAUGCUUUCCUUUGAUGAGCUGAGUCAAGUGCAAGUCCUGGAGCCAAGUGUCCUUGGGUGUGCACCCUGCCUGUGGAUCCCUCAGGAAGGUGGAGUGGCCGUGUAGACUCACCAUCAGCAAUGAAGACACGACCUUCCUUUCCUUUGUUGAUGGGUGGCGUGUGGAAAUCCUGGAAGCCGAGUGUCCCGGGGUGUGCACCCUGCUAGUGGAUCCCUGAGGAAGGUGGAGUGGCCGUGUAGACUCACCAUCAUCCAUGAAGAGAAGACCAUCCUUUCCUUUGAUGAUGGCAGGUGUGUGGGAGUCCUGGAGCCGAGUGUCCCUGGGUGUGCACCCUGCCUGUGGAUCCUUCAGGAAGGAGGAGUGGCCAUGUAGACUCACCAUCAGCAAUGAAGACAUGACCUUCCUUUCCUUUGUUGAUGGAUGUGAUGGGGGAGUCCUGGAAGCCGAGGAUCGCUGAGGAAGGUCGCGUCGUCACAAAAGGACUGUCGUCCGCCCGG